rnacentral:lncRNA from 1 species
UUCAAAGUAUUGGAAUAAUUAAAUCGGGUCCAAACAAUAAAUAAUGCAAUGUAUGAGUGUAAGUGCAAAGGAACCGGCUCAUUGUAAGAAAGCCCAAGAGUAAGCUAUGUGAGGUCGAUGGCGACGCUUAAAAAGCAAUCGACUUACAAGGGUGUGAAAAAAUGGGCUCGAUAUUAAAUCGAGAAAAAAUAUGAUUUUUAUAGUUUUAAAAUGGUUUUGAACUAAAUUAAAAUACAACAACUUUACAUUAUUAACAAAAUGAACAUAUGAGUGUAAUAAAGGCAUAAACAUAAAAAGAAACUAAAAUGCUAAAAGAAAAAAUAAUAUAGCUAAAAGAAAUAAAAUGCCAAAAAAAAAAGCCACACAUGAGUAUUGAACCCAC